rnacentral:rRNA from 1 species
CCUACGGGAGGCAGCAGUAAGGAAUAUUGGUCAAUGGACGCAAGUCUGAACCAGCCAUGCCGCGUGAAGGAUGAAGGUCCUCUGGAUUGUAAACUUCUUUUAUAUGGGACGAAACCCGGGCAUUCCUGCCCGAUUGACGGUACCAUAGGAAUAAGCACCGGCUAACUCCGUGCCAGCAGCCGCGGUAAU